rnacentral:rRNA from 1 species
UACGUAGGGGGCAAGCGUUAUCCGGAUUUACUGGGUGUAAAGGGAGCGUAGACGGCAGCGCAAGUCUGGAGUGAAAUGCCGGGGCCCAACCCCGGAACUGCUCUGGAAACUGUGAAGCUGGAGUGCAGGAGAGGUAAGCGGAAUUCCUGGUGUAGCGGUGAAAUGCGUAGAUAUUAGGAGGAACACCAGUGGCGAAGGCGACUUUCUGGACAGUAACUGACGUUGAGGCACGAAAGUGUGGGGAGCAAACAGG